GUGCCAGCAGCCGCGGUAAUACGUAGGUGGCAAGCGUUAUCCGGAAUUAUUGGGCGUAAAGCGCGCGUAGGCGGUUUUUAAGUCUGAUGUGAAAGCCCACGGCUCAACCGUGGAGGGUCAUUGGAAACUGGAAAACUUGAGUGCAGAAGAGGAAAGUGGAAUUCCAUGUGUAGCGGUGAAAUGCGCAGAGAUAUGGAGGAACACCAGUGGCGAAGGCGACUUUCUGGUCUGUAACUGACGCUGAUGUGCGAAAGCGUGGGGAUCAAACAGGAUUAGA
rnacentral:rRNA from 1 species